AGCAGAGUGGCGCAGCGGAAGCG
rnacentral:piRNA from 4 species